UCGUAUGCUGUACUCUUCCUGACCUGAGAUCUGCUCGGGGCAUCAUCCUGCGGCAAUAGGAAUCUCACCUUACGACGUCGCCUCUCAUCCUCUCGAUUCUCCUGCCCGAUCCACCUCCACCUAGAGCUCCACUUUGCACUGGGCUCCACCUGGCUCCUGAAGCUCCACCUCGCACUGGGCUCCUUGACAGAUAAUAAUGUCCUCUCCUCCCCUUCUUUUCCUCCAGCACAAUCCUAUCGCCGCAUAGCACCCUUAGGAUUCCUCAACCAGCUACCGU
rnacentral:lncRNA from 1 species